UUACGGUCAAAUCACGCUGAAAACACCGGUUCUCGUUCGAUCACCGAAGUUAAGCAUCGUAGAGCCAGGUCAGUACUUAGAUGGGGGACCGCUUGGGAACACCUGGUACCGUAAG
rnacentral:rRNA from 1 species